ACUCCUGCGGGAGGCAGCAGUGGGGAAUUUUGGACAAUGGGCGAAAGCCUGAUCCAGCAAUGCCGCGUGAGUGAAGAAGGACUUCGGGUUGUAAAGCUCUUUUGUCAGGGAAGAAACGGUGAAAGCUAAUAUCUUUUGCUAAUGACGGUACCUGAAGAAUAAGCACCGGCUAACUACGUGCCAGCAGCCGCGGUAAUACGUAGGGUGCAAGCGUUAAUCGGAAUUACUGGGCGUAAAGCGUGCGCAGGCGGUUUUGUAAGUCUGAUGUGAAAUCCCCGGGCUCAACCUGGGAAUUGCAUUGGAGACUGCAAGGCUAGAAUCUGGCAGAGGGGGGUAGAAUUCCACGUGUAGCAGUGAAAUGCGUAGAUAUGUGGAGGAACACCGAUGGCGAAGGCAGCCCCCUGGGUCAAGAUUGACGCUGAUGCACGAAAGCGUGGGGAGCAAACAGGAUUAGAUACCCCUGUAGUCCCA
rnacentral:rRNA from 1 species